rnacentral:rRNA from 1 species
UACGUAGGGUGCAAGCGUUGUCCGGAAUUAUUGGGCGUAAAGAGCUCGUAGGCGGCUUGGCAAGUCGGAUGUGAAAACUCCAGGCUCAACCUGGAGCCGCCAUUCGAUACUGCUAUGGCUAGAGUCCGGUAGGGGAGUGUGGAAUUCCCGGUGUAGCGGUGAAAUGCGCAGAUAUCAGGAGGAACACCGGUGGCGAAGGCGGGUCUCUGGGCCGUUACUGACGCUGAGGAGCGAAAGCGUGGGGAGCGAACAGG